GAUCUGGGUUAUUUCAUUCCUUCUACUUGCUCUGGGCUGUCUUUGUUGUCCUUCCUCAAGUUCUUGUAAGUGUAGGGUUAAGUUGUUUUUUUUUAAUGUUUCUAUCUUUUUUAGGUAGGCGUGUGUCGCUACAAACUUCCCUCUGAGGGCUGUCCUCACGUGUCCCAUAAGUUUUGGGUUGUUGUGAGUUCAUUUUCAUUUGUUUCCAGAAACCUUUUGAUUACUUCCCUAAUUUCAUCCUUGACCCUUUCGUUGUUUAAUAGCAUGCUAUUUAAUCUCCAUGAUUUUGAGUGUUUUGGGUUAUUUUCCUUGAGUUUGGUUUCUAGUUUCAAUCCCUUGAUGUCAG